rnacentral:rRNA from 1 species
GAUGAACGCUGGCGGCGUGCCUAAUACAUGCAAGUCGAGCGAACAGAUAAGGAGCUUGCUCCUUUGACGUUAGCGGCGGACGGGUGAGUAACACGUGGGUAACCUACCUAUAAGACUGGGAUAACUUCGGGAAACCGGAGCUAAUACCGGAUAAUAUUUCGAACCGCAUGGUUCGAUAGUGAAAGAUGGUUUUGCUAUCACUUAUAGAUGGACCCGCGCCGUAUUAGCUAGUUGGUAAGGUCACGGCUUACCAAGGCGACGAUACGUAGCCGACCUGAGAGGGUGAUCGGCCACACUGGAACUGAGACACGGUCCAGACCCCUACGGGAGGCAGCAGUAGGGAAUCGUCCGCAAUGGGCGAAAGCCUUACGGAGCAACGCCGCGUGAGUGAUGAAGGUCUUCGGAUCGUAAAACUCUGUUAUUAGGGAAGAACAUACGUGUAAGUAACUGUGGACGUCUUGACGGUACCUAAUCAGAAAGCCACGGCUAACUACGUG